rnacentral:rRNA from 1 species
CUGGGGAUCUUGCACAAUGGGCGAAAGCCAGACUCAGCAACGCCGCGUGGACGAUGAAGGCCUUCGGGUCGUAAAGUCCUUUUCAGAGGGACGAGUGAGGACGGUACCUCUGGAAUAAGUCACGGCUAACUACGUGCCAGCAGCCGCGGUAAAACGUAGGUGGCGAGCGUUAUCCGGAUUCACUGGGCGUAAAGCGCCUGCAGGCGGUCCUGUAAGUGGGAUGUGAAAUCUCCUGGCUUAACUGGGAGGGGUCAUUCCAUACUGCAGGGCUUGAGGGCAGAAGAGGGAAGCGGAAUUCCCGGUGUAGUGGUGAAAUGCGUAGAUAUCGGGAGGAACACCAGUGGCGAAGGCGGCUUCCUGGCCUGCUCCUGACGCUGAGAGGCGAAAGCUAGGGGAGCGAACGGGAUUAGAAACCCCGGUAGUCCUAGCCGUAAACGAUGGAUACUGGGUGUCGGUGGUCCUAACCCCAUCGGUGCCGAAGCCAACGCGUUAAGUAUCCCGCCUGGGGACUACGGCCGCAAGGUUA